rnacentral:rRNA from 1 species
CUGGGCCGUUACUGACGCUGAGGAGCGAAAGCGUGGGGAGCGAACAGGAUUAGAUACCCUGGUAGUCCACGCCGUAAACGGUGGAUGCUGGAUGUGGGGCCCGUUCCACGGGUUCCGUGUCGGAGCUAACGCGUUAAGCAUCCCGCCUGGGGAGUACGGCCGCAAGGCUAAAACUCAAAGAAAUUGACGGGGGCCCGCACAAGCGGCGGAGCAUGCGGAUUAAUUCGAUGCAACGCGAAGAACCUUACCUGGGCUUGACAUGUUCCCGACGGUCGUAGAGAUACGGCUUCCCUUCGGGGCGGGUUCACAGGUGGUGCAUGGUCGUCGUCAGCUCGUGUCGUGAGAUGUUGGGUUAAGUCCCGCAACGAGCGCAACCCUCGCCCCGUGUUGCCAGCGGAUUAUGCCGGGAACUCACGGGGGACCGCCGGGGUUAACUCGGAGGAAGGUGGGGAUGACGUCAGAUCAUCAUGCCCCUUACGUCCAGGGCUUCACGCAUGCUACAAUGGCCGGUACAACGGGAUGCGACGCGGCGACGCGGAGCGGAUCCCUGAAAACCGGUCUCAGUUCGGAUCGCAGUCUGCAACUCGACUGCGUGAAGGCGGAGUCGCUAGUAAUCGCGAAUCAGCAACGUCGCGGUGAAUGCGUUCCCGGGCCUUGUACACACCGCCCGUCAAGUCAUGAAAGUGGGCAGCACCCGAAGCCGGUGGCCUAACCCCUUGUGGGAUGGAGCCGUCUAAGGUGAGGCUCGUGAUUGGGACUAAGUCGUAACAAGGUAGCCGUACCGGAAGGUGCGGCUG